rnacentral:rRNA from 1 species
AUUGAACGCUGGCGGCAUGCCUUACACAUGCAAGUCGAACGGCAGCACGGGAGCAAUCCUGGUGGCGAGUGGCGAACGGGUGAGUAAUGUAUCGGAACGUGCCCAGUCGUGGGGGAUAACGUAGCGAAAGCUACGCUAAUACCGCAUACGAUCUAUGGAUGAAAGCGGGGGAUCGCAAGACCUCGCGCGAUUGGAGCGGCCGAUAUCAGAUUAGGUAGUUGGUGGGGUAAAGGCUCACCAAGCCGACGAUCUGUAGCUGGUCUGAGAGGACGACCCGCCACAAUGGGACUGACACACGGCCCAGACUCCUACAGGAGGCAGCAGUGGGGAAUUUUGGACAAUGGGCGCAAGCCUGAUCCAGCAAUGCCGCGUGCAGGAUGAAGGCCUUCGGGUUGUAAACUGCUUUUGUACGGAGCGAAAAGGCUCUCUCUAAUACAGGGGGCUCAUGACGGUACCGUAAGAAUAAGCACCGGCUAACUACGUGCCAGCAGCCGCGGUAAUAC